rnacentral:rRNA from 1 species
GAUGAACGCUGGCGGCGUGCCUAAUACAUGCAAGUCGAGCGAACGGACGAGAAGCUUGCUUCUCUGAUGUUAGCGGCGGACGGGUGAGUAACAUGUGGAUAACCUACCUUUAAGACUGGGAUAACUUCGGGAAACCGGAGCUAAUACCGGAUAAUAUUUUGAACCGCAUGGUUCAAAAGUGAAAGACGGUCUUGCUGUCACUUAUAGAUGGAUCCGCGAUGCAUUAGUGAGUUGGUAAGGUAACGGCUUACCAAGGCAACGAUGCAUAGCCGACCUGAGAGGGUAACAGGCCAGACAGGAACUGAGACGAGGGCCGGACUAAUACAGGAGGCAGAAGUAGGGAAGAGGCCGCAAUGGGCGAAAGACGAAAGGAGAAACGCGGCGUGAGCAAUGAAGGUCUGCGAAUGGUAAAAGUCUGUUAGUAGGGAAGAACAUAUGGGUAAGUAAAAGUGAUGAUCGAGGCGGUACCAAAUAAGAAAGCCGCGGCUAAAUGCG